rnacentral:tRNA from 1 species
GGGGCUGGGGCUCAGCGGUAGAGCACUCACCUAGUACAUGAGAGGCCCUGGGUUUGAUCCUCAGCACCA